CUUCUAGAUGUGGGAGGGGAUGUCCCAAGCAAAGCAUUCAUUUGCCAAUUAGUGAUUGCCAAAUCCUUGACACCUGACAUGCACAUAUUUAAAUAGACUGGGUGUAUACCUGACACCUGCCUGUGAUCCUAUCUUCUUCAUACUAUGCUGGACACACCACACAUAGGAUAAGCUUUUUCUUGCUCUCUCUGGAGAUCGCUUCCAUACUCAUAUUCUAAACAUUUAAUAAGGCAUCACUCUGGCAAUUGCUUUGCUGGGCUCCCCCUCCACCUGUCCGGCCCGCACUCUCUGACUGGACUUUUGGAUUUUUUCCCAGUUAUACUGUGGGUCCCUGCAGGCCACUUUUGUGGGGCAUCGUUGAGGCCUUUUUGGGGGUGCUAACCACUCGUAUGGAGAAAAGUAACCAGGGAUCCUCAGGACUAUAACCUUACUCUGGUCCAAAUAGAACUGAGAAACACAAUCUUUUGCAUCAUAUACCCUUUCCUCCGAAGAAGACCCAUAUGUGGGGGUCGAAACGCGUCAGGAACAACUUGACCUGAAGAUCAGCCAUUCAUGU